rnacentral:rRNA from 1 species
GCUCAGAAACUCAAAGGAAUUGACGGGGCCCGCACAAGCGGUGGAGCAUGUGGUUUAAUUCGAAGCAACGCGAAGAACCUUACCAGGCCUUGACAUGCAGAGAACUUUCCAGAGAUGGAUUGGUGCCUUCGGGAACUCUGACACAGGUGCUGCAUGGUUGUCGUCAGCUCGUGCCGUGAGGUGUCGGGUUAAGUCCCAUAACGAGCGCAACCCCUACUGCUAGUUGCCAGCGGGUUAUGCCGGGGACUCUAGCGGAACUGCCAGCGUAAGCUGCGAGGAAGGUGGGGAUGACGUCAAAUCAGCACGGCCCUUACGUCCAGGGCUACACACGUGCUACAAUGGUCGGUACAAAGGGUUGCCAAGCCGCGAGGUGGAGCUAAUCCCAUAAAACCGAUCGUAGUCCGGAUCGCAGUCUGCAACUCGACUGCGUGAAGUCGGAAUCGCUAGUAAUCGUGAAUCAGAAUGUCACGGUGAAUACGUUCCCGGGCCUU